GCUCUUUCAAAAAUAACUUCAACUGGUGCUAUGACUUUCUGUUUCAUUCAAGCUAUUGAGCGUGGUCAUGGUGCCACAUAUGGAAGUAUAUUGACGGCAAUGAGAAAUGCUAUUCGACAAGCUGGUGGAAGUUCAGGGGGUGACUUUGGUGGCGGUGCUGUUACAUCUCUCAUCUCCAUGCUUCUGACAGGAGGUAGUGGUGGUAUGGGUGGAGGAUUUAGUCAGGAGCCCCAAUUAACAGCUUGCCAGCCAUUCGAUGUGUAUGCGAAGCCAUUUUCAUUGUGAUAUUCCUUCUGCCCUCGUCCUCCUUUUGGUGUGUUUGGAUUUGGAUUUUUUUGUAAAGAUAGAAAUUCGUCGGGUCCUAUCAUAUGCUGCUUUAGGCAUGAGAACGCGAAUAGCUUUGCUUUCUGAUAGAAAGUUUUGUAAUGAAAUUAUUGUCAAUAUAGCUGACCUUUAACUGUUGCAAUAUCUACAGAUUUA
rnacentral:misc_RNA from 1 species